AUGCCCUCCUGGAAUGACGAGGAGAGCUCGGACGAGGACACCUGCAUGGUUUCAAUGGAUCCUCAGCUCUUUGAAACCCCUGACAGUGUGGUGGAACCAUCUUUCCGUGGUUCUUACACUGAAUCUGAGCCGACGUGCAUGAUGCAUCAUCAGAGGCCGAAGAAGAUGGUAGCUUUUGAAGGUGUCAACUGUGGGGUGGUGGAGUGGGUAGAUGGUCCUUGGCCAGAGAUUCUACAAAGGUGCCUAGGAAGGAUUUGGGACAUGUACCAUGAGCAGAACUUGAGUAGGGUGAAGGACAAACAAGCUCAUGAGAAAGAGGUGGGCAAGUUAAAGAAGGGAAUUGAGUUUCUGUCAAACAACUACAGCCAGUUGGUGGAAGAUGUGUCCAAGCUUUUUGACUAUCAAGAUGGCAAGAUGUCUCAUGACAUGGACUAUACCAGUCAGGCAAUCAAUGAACUAAAUGAGAAUAAGAAGCAACUUGAGGAUCAGGCAAAGAUUGAGUUAAGUAUGGAAAAGCUGAAGCUUGCCAAGGAGCAAAGGUGCAUUCUUCAAAGCCAAGCAGAUAUCAUUCAGAACAUGAGGAAGGCCAUGAAGGAAGUGGAGGGAGACAGGGACCUACUUAAGCAAGAGAAGAAGAAGCUGGAGUAUCUUAUUGCCGAUCUGCUCAAUGCUGGGCAUGCUAGCAAAGAUAAGCUGGAGAGGAUCUAG
rnacentral:rRNA from 1 species